GCAAUGGCCUUGAGCGCGAUGUCUGAUUAGCUAGUUGGUGAGGUAAAGGCUUACCAAGGCUUCGAUCAGUAGCUGGUCUGAGAGGACGACCAGCCACACUGGGACUGAGACACGGCCCAGACUCCUACGGGAGGCAGCAGUGGGGAAUUUUGGACAAUGGGGGCAACCCUGAUCCAGCCAUGCCGCGUGAGUGAAGAAGGCCUUCGGGUUGUAAAGCUCUUUCAGCCGGAACGAAAAGGUUACGGUUAAUACCCAUGACUAAUGACGGUACCGGAAGAAGAAGCACCGGCUAACUACGUGCCAGCAGCCGCGGUAAUACGUAGGGUGCGAGCGUUAAUCGGAAUUACUGGGCGUAAAGCGUGCGCAGGCGGUUUUGUAAGUCAGAUGUGAAAUCCCCGGGCUUAACCUGGGAACUGCGUUUGAACAC
rnacentral:rRNA from 1 species